CUGUUGCAGUUUCUAGACUUAUGGCUUCCAAGACGAGAUUGAAAGUGAAUGCGCCAUAAAUAAAGGUCAGUGCCUGUUGUGUAAACACCUCAUGUAAAGAAAUAUUCAUCAGCCUACUUUCUACAGAGGAUUAAAUGCAUUCCUGUUGGUCCAUCAUAUCAUUCGCCCGCUCCUGUGAGUACAGUUGACCUAAACCUUCAUAAAUACUGGGACAUUUUUAUUGUUGCUUUUGUUUUUCCGCUGCAGAUGAAUUUCAAGAUUUUACCAGUCACAUAACAGUGCAGCUUUACUCCCAUGUGAGUCUUAACCACAACUAUCGAUCCACGAGCUGAAGCUCACUGGUUCUCAUGGGAUGGGAUGCGUUAAAGGCUUACUGAAUUAUUAAGUCUGAUGGACUAAAUUCUGACUUAGUGUAACGUGCACGUGCCUUUAAAUAAUAUUUUCCACCGGACACGUCGCAGAACGCUGCAACUGGGUUCAAACUAAUAGGCUUAAAAUAACACACUUUUAUAGAAGCUACUAGCCUGAUAAAGUUAGAUCACAUCACAUCUGUCUCAAGCAUCUAUCUCACGCUAUUAAACUCACAGCCUCAACUUUAAUCCGAACAUAAACAGGUUUAAACUCUGACUCGAACCAACUGUGACAGUAACUAGAUUCCCGGUGUGUUUCUCCCAAAAUGUCGACGUCCUGCGCGCAUCACACUUCGCUCAAGUCAGUGUCUGCGCGGGUCUAAUGAGUCAUGACACCACCAGAGCCUAAAGGCGUCCUCCCACGCUUCUCCAGCCCACUCCUGCCUCUAUUUGAGGCGCUCCUCUGCUCCAGCCCUCAGAGCAGCAGGCGCCCAGUCAGCGCAGCUCUCUCCUGCCGCUGCGGAGCGACGGGAGUUGCGUUUCCCCGCAUUGUUCAGGCUUCUCGUCACUCGGCCAAGAUGAGACUCAUCGUCGUCCUCGUCGGAGCUCUGCUGGCAGAAAAUCUAGCGCUUCCAGUAGGAAAGGAAGGGCAGAGGGACGAUGCGAUGACACAGUGUUUGGUUGAGGUCCUGUCCAAAGUUCUGUCCAAACCAGGCUCCCAGCUGGACCAGGAAUGCAAAGAGAUUCUCCGAGCAGGAGUUAAACGUGCCCCACUGGACACGAAGAGUGGGGAGGGAACAGUAACUCAAGAGGAGGUGAUUAACAGUCAUGCUGUGCAGCCUGAUGCAAAGGCAGCAGAUGUCCAAGACAUCGAGGCACUCCUAAAGACUGUAGAGGAAAAGAGGGAAAACCCAGAAGAUGAGCGCAGUCAGGAAUCUUGGAGUCUCGGUGAUGAGAAGGACAAAAGACACGAGAACCAAAAGGAGGAGGAAGAGCGAGAGAAAAGGAGCAGCUGGAGACCGGGAAGAUUCCACCAAAAAAAACAUAAACGAGACGAGGACAACGAGCGCAGUCAAGAGAGCUGGGGGACAGAAGAAAAGAGGGAUGAGGAGGAAGGGGAAGGUGAGGAGAGAGAGAAGAGGAAAUGGAAACCUGGCAGGUAUCACCAGAAAAAACAGAAACGAGACGAGGAACCUGAAGACGAAGAGCGGGAAGAGCCGGAGGAAGAACGUAGCCAAGAGUCUUGGGAUGUAGAUAAAAGGCACGGGAAUGAGGAUCAGGAGGAAAGAUACAAGCGCAUAUGGAAACCCACACAUCGCUACCACCACAAGAAAAAGUUCCACAAACGCAGUGACGAACCAUCAGACGGGGAAGAAUACGACGAUCGCAGCCAGGAAUCUUGGGGUCUUGAUGAAAUGGACAAGAGGGAAUGGAGACCUGGCAGGUACCACCAGAGGAGGCACAAACGCGAUGAAGAGCUCUCAGAUGAAGAAGCCAGAGAGGAGCCAGAUGAAGAACGAAGCCAGGAAUACUGGGAUUUUGAUACUGGAAGGGAAAAAAGAAACUGGCGACCCGGCAGGUACCAUCAGAGGAGAACCAAACGUGAUGAAGAGCUCUCGGAAGAAAAGAGGGAAGAUCCAGAUGAAGAUCGAAGCCAGGAAUACUGGGAUUUUGAUACUGGAAGGGAAAAAAGGAACUGGCGACCCGGCAGGUACCACCAGAGGAGAACCAAACGUGAUGAAGAGCUCUCAGAAGAAAAGAGGGAAGAGCCAGAAGAAGAGCGCAGCCAGGAGUACUGGGGCUUCGAGAAAAGGCACGAAAAGGAAGACGGUGAAAUUGAAAAGCGCAUAUGGAAACCAACACACCGAUACCAUCACAAGAAGAAGCUCCACAAACGUGGCGGAGGCUCCUCUGAAGAGGAGGGCGAAGAGCAGAGGGGGGAUUCUGAGGAAUACAAAGAGGCUGCGAAGAGCAGGGAUGAAGCUCUGAGGUAUCUGGCAGAGAAGCGCAACCCCUGGAUCAGCAGAGGCUACUACCACCCGGCCUGGUUCAAAAGGGAUUCAGACAAACAGGCUGCAUCCUCAACCAAGAUGGAUGACCUGGCCAGCUUGCUGAGCUACAGGGUGAACGAGGUGAACCAUGCAAAUCCAGACGAGGCCAAAGUGAGAAUUCAUCAGCGAGCGCUCAGUCCACAAGAGGAGAAAGAGCUGGAGAACCUGGCUGCAAUGGACAUGGAGUUGCAGAAAAUCGCCGCCAAGUUGCAUGAGAACAGCGCAUAAGUGACAUUAUCAGCUACUGUACGUCUGCCAGUGUAGUGUGUUUAAAGUAGAAGUGUGAAGAAAAACAUAAAAAAAUAAGACCUGAAACUCUACAGCCUUGCUUUAAACUGGUUUUAUCAUUGUCGUUGUGCUAUUUAAAUGUUAGCUUAAUGCGCAUGGGAAUGGCCUUGAUGUUUAUACAUGAAGAGAAAAUUUAA
ensembl:lncRNA chromogranin B